rnacentral:rRNA from 1 species
UACGUAGGGUCCGAGCGUUGUCCGGAAUGACUGGGCGUAAAGAGCUCGUAGGUGGUUUGUCGCGUUGUUCGUGAAAACUCACAGCUUAACUGUGGGCGUGCGGGCGAUACGGGCAGACUUGAGUACUGCAGGGGAGACUGGAAUUCCUGGUGUAGCGGUGGAAUGCGCAGAUAUCAGGAGGAACACCGGUGGCGAAGGCGGGUCUCUGGGCAGUAACUGACGCUGAGGAGCGAAAGCGUGGGGAGCGAACAGG